CAGGAGUUAUCUAAGGAUAAGAAACAUGAGGAAGAAGAUGAUGAAGAAACUACAGUAGAUGAGGAAGUAAAUAAGAUGGAAGAAAAUAAGCAUGAACAAAAGCAGGUGGAAGGUGAAGCUAAGUAUGAAGAGGAUGAGCGAGAAGAAGGAACUAAGCACAUAGAGGAAGAGCAAGAAGAAGAAGGAACUAAGCAUGAAGAGGAAGAGCAAGAAGAAGAAGGAACUAAGCAUGAAGAGGAAGAGCGAGAAGAAGGAAACAAGCAUGAAGAUGACGAGCAAGAAGAAGAGAUAGAAGAUGAGAGGAGAGGAGGUGGAGAUGAUGAGAUAGGUGAACAUGAUCAAGAGAAACUAGGAGAAGCUGAUCACGAGGAAGAUUUAGUUGAUGGAGAGAGAGGGAGAGAGGAACAAGGGGAGGAAAAGGAAAGUGGAAAUGAUGAAGCUGAAGAUAAGGAGGCUCAAUCGGGUCAUGAAACUUCAACAGAGGAUCAAGAUAACGAUGGAGGUGUGCAGAAUGAUCAUGAGGCUCGAGAAGAACAUUACAAGGCAGAUGAUGCUUCAAGUGCGGUAACUCAUGAUUCUCA
rnacentral:lncRNA from 1 species